rnacentral:lncRNA from 1 species
AGGUUGAGUGAGAAUCAUGAUGAACACAAGAGAUAAGAGUCUCUCAAUCUCGUUAACUUCAUUAAUCAGCAAGGUUACAAUAUAUAUAGGAGAGACUAAGUCUAGGUUAACGGAUACAAGGGAGACUAAGCAUGUAGAGUCAAAGAUGAGAGGAGCGGGCUAGUUUGAAUGACCGGCUAGGAUGGCUCACACGCUUGAUGCCAAAAGGAUCUAGCUAGAUGCUCUUCCUUUACAGCUGUUCCAGCCUGUCAGUCCGCGCUCUUCUUCCUUUUGAUUCAAGCUGAUCCACAACCAAAGGUAAAGGUAACUUUGGCUAAGUUACUUUCACUUUGGUAACUUCUUGGCCGAGA